UAAGUAUAAGUAUCCUAUGAGAAUAAGUGU
rnacentral:piRNA from 1 species